rnacentral:rRNA from 1 species
GUACCAGACUCCUACGGGAGGCAGCAGUGAGGAAUAUUGGUCAAUGGCCGGAAGGCUGAACCAGCCAAGUCGCGUGAGGGAAUAAGGCCCUAUGGGUCGUAAACCUCUUUUGUCAGGGAGCAAAGGCGUCCACGUGUGGACGAGAGGAGAGUACCUGAAGAAAAAGCAUCGGCUAACUCCGUGCCAGCAGCCGCGGUAAUACGGAGGAUGCGAGCGUUAUCCGGAUUUAUUGGGUUUAAAGGGUGCGUAGGCGGGCGGUUAGGUCAGCGGUAAAAUGUCGGGGCUCAACCCCGGCCUGCCGUUGAAACUGGCGGCCUCGAGUGGGCGAGAAGUAUGCGGAAUGCGUGGUGUAGCGGUGAAAUGCAUAGAUAUCACGCAGAACUCCGAUUGCGAAGGCAGCAUACCGGCGCCCGACUGACGCUGAGGCACGAAAGCGUGGGUAUCGAACAGGAUUAGAUACCCGAGUA